GACUGUUGUCUGGGUCUGGUUAAGGGGGUGUUGUUGUGUUGUCUGGGUCUGGUUGAGGGGGUGUUGUUGUGCUGGACUGUUGUCCGGGUCUGGUUAAGGGGGUGUUGUUGUGCUGGACUGUUGUCCGGGUCUGGUUAAGGGGGUGUUGUUGUGCUGGAUUGUUGUCUGGGUCUGGUUAAGGGGGUGUUGUUGUGUUGUCUGGGUCUGGUUGAGGUGGUGUUGUUGUGCUGGACUGUUGUCUGGGUCUGGUUGAGGGGGUGUUGUUGUGUUGUCUGGGUCUGGUUGAGGGGGUGUUGUUGUCUGGGUCUGGUUUAGGGGGUGUUGUUGAGCUGGACUGUUGUCUGGGUCUGGUUGAGGGGGUGUUGUUGUGCUGGACUGUUGUCUGGUUAAGGGGGUGUUGUUGUGCUGGACUGUUGUCUGGGUCUGGUUAAAGGGGUGUUGUUGUGCUGGACUGUUGUCUGGGUCUGGUUAAGGGGGUGUUGUUGUGUUGUCUGGGUCUGGUUGAGGUGGUGUUGUUGUGCUGGACUGUUGUCUGGGUCUGGUUGAGGGGGUGUUGUUGAGCAGGACUGUUGUCUGGGUCUGGUUGAGGGGGUGUUGUUGUGCUGGAUAAGGGGGUGUUGUUGUGUUGUCUGGGUAUGGUUAAGGGGGUGUUGUUGUGCUGGACUGUUGUCUGGGUCUGGUUGAGGGGGUGUUGUUGAGCUGGACUGUUGCCUGGGUCUGGUUGAGGGGGUGUUGUUGUGCUGGACUGUUGUCUGGGUCUGGUUGAGGGGGUGUUGUUGUGCUGGACUGUUGUCUGGGUCUGGUUAAGGGGGUGUUGUUGAGCUGGACUGUUGUCUGGGUCUGGUUAACGGGGUGGUGUUGUGUUGUACUGUUGUCUGGUUAAGGGGGUGUUGUUGUGCUGGACUGUUGUCUGGGUCUGGUUGAGGGGGUGUUGUUGUGUUGUCUGGGUCUGGUUAAGGGGGUGUUGUUGUGCUGGACUGUUGUCUGGGUAUGGUUAAGGGGGUGUUGUUGAGCUGGACUGUUGUCUGGGUCUGGUUGAGGGGGUGUUGUUGUGCUGGACUGUUGCCUGGGUCUGGUUGAGGGGGUGUUGUUGUGCUGGACUGUUGUCUGGGUCUGGUUGAGGGGGUGUUGUUGAGCUGGACUGUUGUCUGGGUCUGGUUAACGGGGUGGUGUUGUGUUGUACUGUUGUCUGGUUAAGGGGGUGUUGUUGUGCUGGACUGUUGUCUGGGUCUGGUUGAGGGGGUGUUGUUGUGUUGUCUGGGUCUGGUUAAGGGGGUGUUGUUGUGCUGGACUGUUGUCUGGGUCUGGUUGAGGGGGUGUUGUUGUGCUGGACUGUUGUCUGGGUCUGUGUUGACUGGAGUGUAAUCACCAGCUGUUCCAUCUCCACCUGCCUUACCUCCAGCUGGGGGAAUUUAUCCUUCAUUUCAAUGAGGGAGUAGUACUCUGUGCUGGGAGGUUGACUUUCCGCUGGGGGUUGCUGGUCUGUGGGGUUAUAUAAUGAAGAGGUCUUGGGGUGGCUGGUCUGUGGGGUUAUAUAAUGAAGAGGUCUGGGGGUGGCUCGUCUGUGGGGUUAUAUAAUGAAGAGGUCUUGGGGUUGCUCAUCUGUGGGGUUAUAUAAUGAAGAGGUCUGGUCUGACCCACUCUGGGUGGGGGUAUCUUUCUCAAGGGAGAGCUUCUCCUGCUGAGCUAAUUCUUUGAUUAGGUGAAAGUCCAGCUGAAACUGUUUGGGGUUGUCCUGUACCAAUACUGUUCCAGACUUAUAGAGAUUUAUAUUAGCUGACUCAGAGUCCUCGUUGUCUAGUAUCCUGAGUUUCCACCCCUCGUUAAACCCUGCCCCCGCUUAACAGAGGGGUAGUGUGCUAAUAUAGCACAGUGCCAGGGGAUGGUCUGGUUAAUAUAGCACUGUGCCAUGCCAGGGGAUGGUCUGGUUAAUAUAGCACUGUGCCAUGCCAGGGGAUGGUCUGGUUAAUAUAGUACAGUGCCAGGGGAUGGUCUGGUUAAUAUAGCACUGUGUCAUGCCAGGGGAUGGUCUGGUUAAUAUAGCACUGUGCCAGGGGAUGGUCUGGUUAAUAUAGCACUGUGCCAUGCCAGGGGAUGGUCUGGUUAAUAUAGCACUGUGCCAUGGGAUGGUCUGGUUAAUAUAGCACUGUGCCAUGCCAGGGGAUGGUCUGGUUAAUAUAGCACUGUGUCAUGCCAGGGGAUGGUCUGGUUAAUAUAGCACUGUGCCAGGGGAUGGUCUCAUUUACAACUGCCACCUGGCCAAGAUAAAGCAAAGAAGUUUGACACAUACAACAACACAGAGUUACAGACAAUAAUACAGUAGAAAAAGUCUAUAUACAGUGUGAGCAAAUGAGGUCGGAUAAGGCAAUAAACAGGCCAUGGUGGCGAAGUAAUUACAAUAUAGCAAUUUAACACUGGAAUGGUAGAUGUGCAGAAGAUGAAUGUGCAAGUAGAGAUACCGGGGUGCAAAUGAGCAAGAUAAAUAAAUAAAUACAGUAUGGGGAUGAGGUAGUUGGAUGGGCUGUUUACACAUGGGCUGUUUACCCAGCAGAGACUUGUAGAUGACCUGGAGCCAGUGGGUUUGGCGGCGAGUAUGAAGCGAGGGCCAGCCAAUGAGAGCGUACAGAUCACAGUGGUGGGUAGUGUAUGGGGCUUUGGUGACAAAACGGAUGGCAAUGUGAUAGACUGCAUCCAAUUUGUUGAGUAGAAUGUUGGAGGCUAUUUUUUAUCGCCGAAGUCGAGGAACGGUAGGAUGGUCAGUUUUACGAGGGUAUGUUUGGCAGCAUGAGUGAAGGAUGCUUUGUUGCGAAAUAGGAAGCUGAUUCUAGAUUUAAUUUUGGAUUGGAGAUGCUUAAUGUGAGUCUGGAAGGAGAGUUUACAGUCUAACCAAGACACCUAGGUAUUUGUAGUUGUCCACAUAUUCUAAGUCAGAACCGUCCAGGGUAGUGAUGCUGGACGGGUGGGCAGGUGCAGGCAGCGAUCAGUUGAAGAGCAUGGAUUUAGUUUUACUUGCAUUUAAGAGCAGUUGGAGGCCACGGAAGGAGAGUUGUAUGGCACUGAAGCUUGUCUGGAGGUUAGUUAAAACCUCUUCGCUAUAGGGGGCAGUAUUUUCACGGCCGGAUGAAAAACGUACCCAAAUUAAACGGCCUACUUCUCGGGCCCAGAGUCAAAUAUUUGCAUAUUAUUAGUAGAUUUGGAUAGAAAACACUCUGACGUUUCUAAAACUGUUUGAAUGGUGUCUGUGAGUAUAACAGAACUCAUAUGGCAGGCAAAAACCUGAGAAGAUUCCAAGCAGGAAGUGGCCUGUCUGUAAAUUUGUAGUUCUUCUUUUGGUUCUCUAUCAAAACUACAGUAUCUGAGCUGUUACGUAGCACUUUCUAAGGCUUCCAUUGGCUCUCUAAAGCCUUCAGAAAGCGGAUUGAGGCGUCUCCUGUCUCUGGGCAGAGUAUACUAGCACAGUUUGUCAGUGGUCUGCCUGGUGACAAAGAUAUAGGAUAUGCGCGGUCCUGCGACCAUGCUGUUUUUUCUUUUCCUCUUUGAACGAAUACACUACUGUCCGGUUGGAAUAUUAUCGCUAUUUUACGACAAAAAUACCAUAACAAUUUAUUUGAAACAGCGUUUGACAUGCUUCUAAGUACGGUAAAGGAACAUUUAGAUUUUUUUU
rnacentral:lncRNA from 1 species